rnacentral:rRNA from 1 species
GAUUGCCGCCGCGGUAAUGCGUAGGGUGCAAGCGUUAAUCGGAAUUACUGGGCGUAAAGCGUGCGCAGGCGGUUAUGCAAGACAGAGGUGAAAUCCCCGGGCUCAACCUGGGAACUGCCUUUGUGACUGCAUGGCUAGAGUACGGUAGAGGGGGAUGGAAUUCCGCGUGUAGCAGUGAAAUGCGUAGAUAUGCGGAGGAACACCGAUGGCGAAGGCAAUCCCCUGGACCUGUACUGACGCUCAUGCACGAAAGCGUGGGAAGCAAACAGGAUUAGAUACCCUGGUAGUCCACGCCCUAAACGAUGUCAACUGGUUGUUGGGAGGGUUUCUUCUCAGUAACGUAGCUAACGCGUGAAGUUGACCGCCUGGGGAGUACGGCCGCAAGGUUGAAACUCAAAGGAAUUGACGGGGACCCGCACAAGCGGUGGAUGAUGUGGUUUAAUUCGAUGCAACGCGAAAAACCUUACCUACCCUUGACAUGCCAGGAAUCCUGAAGAGAUUUGGGAGUGCUCGAAAGAGAGCCUGGACACAGGUGCUGCAUGGCCGUCGUCAGCUCGUGUCGUGAGAUGUUGGGUUAAGUCCCGCAACGAGCGCAACCCUUGUCAUUAGUUGCUACGAAAGGGCACUCUAAUGAGACUGCCGGUGACAAACCGGAGGAAGGUGGGGAUGACGUCAGGUCAUCAUGGCCCUUAUGGGUAGGGCUACACACGUCAUACAAUGGCCGGGACAGAGGGCUGCCAACCCGCGAGGGGGAGCUAAUCCCAGAAACCCGGUCGUAGUCCGGAUCGUAGUCUGCAACUCGACUGCGUGAAGUCGGAAUCGCUAGUAAUCGCGGAUCAGCUUGCCGCGGUGAAUACGUUCCCGGGUCUUGUACACACCGCCCGUCAAAC